UGUUUUGUUGUCACCACACCACAUCCACGUUGUUUGAAGCCUCAAAGCUUUUAGAACCACAACUACAGUCAUUUUAUUGUUCUGACCACAAAUCUAAAUAAUGAUAAUAAACAGUUUAAGAACAAAAGUUCCUCCGCUCUGACUCAGCCCUAUAAUGAUAGUAAUAACAAAUAUACAUUGUCAUUAUAUAUAAUAUGGUUAAAGUCAUUCAUGAACCAACUUCCUUUUUUUUGCCUGAACAGUCCUCAUGGACUUCUCCAUGAAUCUGUUCUGUCUCUACCUGUUUGUCACGAUACUCAUAUUAUAACUUCUAUACAUAUUACAUACCUGCCAUAAAUAUCAUGAUACCCGAUACCAGAAUUCAAUACACCAUACAAACAAUAUGGUACCAUAAUUACGAGACUGGUAUAUUUAUCUAUAAUAGUAAUAAAUAAAACAUCUGUAUGGUUCACUUUUUACCAACUUUUUCAACACUUAACAAAUGACAGUAAUAUUAGUAUUAAUACAGCCAGAUAUGAAUGAAACUACAUGGUUCCAUCAUAGCAUUGAUUAUACACUAUGAGGCCGUUAGUCUCUGACCAGAUGAUCCACAGUUCAUCAGGAUGAGCAGCUGGAGAGUUACAGAACUUUACAGACUGAAACAUUUCACUUCUGGCAUCUUUUAAUUUUUUAAGCCGAAGUCUCUAAAGCUGCGCCACUUCUCUCGCUGUGAGCUGCGCAGCGCAGUGUGCGCAGACAGCUCGACACGGAGCAGCGCGUGCGCUCUGAUCGCUCUCUGAAUGAAGUAUCGAUACAAAAAAUAUGCUAAAUCACAUCGUGUUUAACGUACGGGUACUUUGUUAGCAUCGCUACACCGUGCAGCGUGACAGGAGUAGAUGUAGCGGGCUAACAUUCAAGCUAACCUGAACCCCCAAACGCUGUGGACAUCUGAACGCUGAUUGGCCGAGACGCGACACGUCCCAUCAAAGAUGUUUUAUUGCGAAGAGCACCACUUCACACUUUUCUCCGCGUCUCACUGCAAUCUCAACGGCAGCGGGCCAGGUGACCCGCCCCCCCCCCCAAAACAAAAACUCUUCGGAUCUCCACGAUUCACGUGGAUGACCUAUUUUGAGUUCACAAAGGUGAAUUUCAUCGAAAGGUGACAAGUUUGCAGUUCAUUCAGGUUGCUGUCAUGCAGCCCUCCACCACCCCAUCUCCAGCCAGUCUUCAAGGAUCCAUCAGCUUCAACUCAUCAUUCCAUCCGCUCAUCAGCCACCACCAGGUCUGGACUCCACGGGGGGGGAUCUAUCUCGUUGCUGAGCAGGGCAGUCAGCCCUCAAUUACAAAUCUCCCCGUAGAGUCCAAGCGCCAAAGACUCUGAGACUUCACCAUUGCGCAUCACUUGUUAAACAAUAAACAUCCUUUAUUAACACUA